rnacentral:rRNA from 1 species
CCUACGGGCGGCUGCAGUGGGGAAUAUUGCACAAUGGGCGCAAGCCUGAUGCAGCCAUGCCGCGUGUGUGAAGAAGGCCUUCGGGUUGUAAAGCACUUUCAGCGGGGAGGAAGGCGUUAAGGUUAAUAACCUUGUCGAUUGACGUUACCCGCAGAAGAAGCACCGGCUAACUCCGUGCCAGCAGCCGCGGUAAUACGGAGGGUGCAAGCGUUAAUCGGAAUUACUGGGCGUAAAGCGCACGCAGGCGGUCUGUCAAGUCGGAUGUGAAAUCCCCGGGCUCAACCUGGGAACUGCAUUCGAAGCUGGCAGGCUAGAGUCUUGUAGAGGGGGGUAGAAUUCCAGGUGUAGCGGUGAAAUGCGUAGAGAUCUGGAGGAAUACCGGUGGCGAAGGCGGCCCCCUGGACAAAGACUGACGCUCAGGUGCGAAAGCGUGGGGAGCAAACAGGAUUAGAUACCCGGGUAGUC